UACGAAGGGGGCUAGCGUUGUUCGGAAUCACUGGGCGUAAAGCGCACGUAGGCGGCGCGUUAAGUCAGGGGUGAAAUCCUGGAGCUCAACUCCAGAACUGCCUUUGAUACUGGCGUGCUCGAGUGUUGGAGAGGUUGGUGGAACUCCGAGUGUAGAGGUGAAAUUCGUAGAUAUUCGGAAGAACACCAGUGGCGAAGGCGGCCAACUGGCCCAUUACUGACGAUGAGGUGCGAAAGCGUGGGGAGCAAACAGG
rnacentral:rRNA from 1 species